GGCAGUAAAUACAGACAGAAUGAUCCCUCUCUCUUUUCCCAUGAGAACACAAGCUGCACUAACUGGGGGGGAGGAGGCAGGUGGAAAAUGUAACCUUUCCCUGUAAAUAAGGCUCAGCAUGGUCCAUGCUCCUUUCAAUAAUCACCACACAGCAACCCAGGAGUUCCACAAGAAAAAUAUAAUUAGGUUCCAAAGGACAGAAGUUUGCAGGCACAGUCACAUACACCAUGUCAGAACCUCAGUGCUCUUGUCUAUUAUAUCUAGACACAAAAUUUUACAAAACCAGCCAUACAAAUUUUAAAUAUGUUUACAAAGAUGAAAACAUAAAGAAAUGAAGACUAUGGAAUUUUGUUUGCCAACAGUUUCACUUUGAAUCCUGUCUUGUGUGAAAACCAGACAGUUCAUCAGAAAGUGUAUUUGAUACUCUAUGCUAGAAUUUCAGUAGACAACAUUGAUGAAAUCCUAAGCAUCAAUAGUCUAGGACAAAUAACUAUAAUAAUCCUAAGAUGUGAUCUUUGAUUAUUCCCCUAAGUACUGCUGCUAUAAUUUUCUACUUAUUGAACCUUUAUUUAGGGAAUAAAACUGACAUGAGAAUUCUAUCUCAGGAAAGAGAAUAACCUUAAUUAAAUCUUCAAUCCCAACUUUUAAAGCUUAGCUUCUCUGCUCACCUAUAACUAUUUUUGGUUCGCUGCUAACUUCUAAAGUGUCCUAAGACAAUUGGUGUGAUGUGAAGUCCCUUUGUCUGGAAGGUGCUCACAUUUCGUUUUAUUUGAAGCCAUAGGGCAUUGAAGUCUUCCCUUCCCAAACCAGACAGAGAAUGUCACCCGUUUAACACUCAGACCGCCCACCCAGGUGCCAGGUCCUCUGUAGCUGGACCGUCCUCUGUAGCUGGACGUCUGCAGCAGAGUGUUACUGCCCACAGUUCAGCUCCUGAGCACUGAGCUUAGGUCACAGGACAGACCCUUUCCACAGUCACCUUGGGGAAGCUUGACGAUGAAAUCAGAGACAAGACAUGAAGCUGAGCCUGGAGGGCUCUGCUACAAGGAAGCAGUGCAGUGGGUCCAGAGUGGUGCCGCCUGUGUGUGUGUGUGUGUGUGUGUGUGUGUGUGUGUGUGUGUGUGAUGCCAGCGCACGGCCAGCCACUGAGACGUACAGACCCACCCCAGGCUGAGGGCUGGCCCCUGGCCCCCGAGGGGGAAGCAGGGCUCUGCUCAGCACCAGGCACCAGCCACUGCCUGUCUGCUGCAGCUUCUCCUUUAAGGCAAGCCCUCGAGGCUACAUGAAGGAGAAUCACACACCGGCCCUCACCCUGCGGGAGGGUUCCAGUGGUUUCCCAGCAUGACGGCCAGGCUGUCAGCAGACAGGACACCCAACACCCACUGUAGCACCAUAUUUAAGCCUGAAGUGAGGUAAACAAACUCUCAGGUAACUUUGGGUAGAAAUUUCAGUAGCAAUUUUGUGUGGAUUAUUUGGAGGGGGAGGGGGUCUUUAUUCUUCAAUUUUGUUAUAAUAGCAAUUUUGAAUGAGGUGUACACAGCAGUAUUCUUUCUGAUCAUUAAAAUAAGUUGUUUGAAGAGCCAUUUGAUCCCAAGUAUGUAUAUAUAAGUAUAUAUCAAAAUUAAAAAAUUAUCAAGCCAAGUGGGUAAGCUUUUGGCAGGAGAAAUGUAGCCAAUCAGAACCCUCAUUUUUGAAAUCUAAACCAUGUCACUGUUGGGCUGGUGAAGCCAAGGGUUUUGAUCAAGGACACAAGCCAAUCACAGGGCUGGCUCAGCCGAAGGCAGGGCCCGGCAAUGCCAGUUCUCAGAGCAAGGUCAAGGGCACCGUAGACAUCCUGUGGACACCCAGCUCCAAUGGGAGUGGGCCUACCUGUCCUGCUUGUUGCUCCAUUUAAUGAGCAGGUGGGUAGCUUCUCUCUUCCCCAACUAUUCUAAUGCGUAUGGACAAACCUCUCUGGAACUUAUACUUACCGUUUGAAGACACCUGCUAGAGGAAUACAGAGGGAGAGACCCUCACCUUGGCUGUCAUUUACAAGGGGUAAAUAUAUAUAUCAGCAAAUGAAAACAGACUUGAGAUAAGGGAUAACUGGAAACAAUUCUCUAAUUGAGUUCCUCCAAACUGGUAAGGUGAAAAAAUAAGAUGUAAAGAAUUAAUGAAACUUUUCAGAUUGUCCCCACCCCCUUAAUGUUACUCAACACAGAAGAGAAAUAAGAAACCUUAGAUGGAGCUGUUUGGGGGCAUAAAAAACUAACUUUCCAGAGGAGAACAGUGACCAUCCUCGUG